rnacentral:rRNA from 1 species
AACGAACGCUGGCGGCAGGCUUAACACAUGCAAGUCGAACGCCCCGCAAGGGGAGUGGCAGACGGGUGAGUAACGCGUGGGAAUCUACCCAGUUCUACGGAACAACUGAGGGAAACUUCAGCUAAUACCGUAUACGCCCUACGGGGGAAAGAUUUAUCGGAAUUGGAUGAGCCCGCGUUGGAUUAGCUAGUUGGUGAGGUAACGGCUCACCAAGGCGACGAUCCAUAGCUGGUCUGAGAGGAUGAUCAGCCACACUGGGACUGAGACACGGCCCAGACUCCUACGGGAGGCAGCAGUGGGGAAUAUUGGACAAUGGGCGCAAGCCUGAUCCAGCCAUGCCGCGUGAGUGAUGAAGGCCUUAGGGUUGUAAAGCUCUUUCGGUGGGGACGAUAAUGACGGUACCCACAGAAGAAGCCCCGGCUAACUUCGUGCCAGCCGCCGCCGUAAAAC